UAGGCAGACUGGAUAUUUGGAAUUUUGGAGUGGAUGAAUUGACUGAAGCUUUGCAUUAGUUAGGUAUCCGAGGACACAAACCUUCAACAGAUCGAUAGAAGGGUUGGACGAAACCUUAAUUCUUCAUCUUGCAAGUGGGUUCGUGACGGAAUCUACAUCAGUGCCAACUUUGUGAAGUCUUCUUCGAGGACUAAUUUGCAGCUGAGGGAGGAAGACAUUUCAGUCUUUCUUAUUUGUGCUUCAUUGGUGGCCAAAGGCCAACUCAUGCUACGGUUUGGACUGGAGAUCAUUAGAGACAACUUUGGUGAUAAGAAUCUUCAACAACUUGGCAGCAUAAGAAGCUGAUUACAUCUCAGAAUUCUGAGUUUAUUAUCAGACAUUUUUAGUCAUAUAUUGGGUUUGCCAUGGAGAUCGACCAGACCUAUCAAACCCCACAUUUUUGUUCAUAACUUUUGAUUGAAGACUUAGAAUUUUGUGGGUAUUGGUGCAUUGGAUUUGUAUUUCCGAGACAAUCAUUUCCAUCACUCAUUUGGCACUGAAGACUGCUGAUAUUAUUUUAUAUUUCACUCAGAUCAUAACAGGGGCGAUUUUGAUAGAGGCUUCAUUUUGGCACAUAGGAGGCACAAAGACAACCGAUAUUGCUUGUUUCUUCAUCUGUACUUCUAGGCGCUUCACUCAGUUUUUAGAUGUGCUUCUCAGGUUUGCUUGGGUCCAGUCAGUCAUGAAUUUCAAUAUAGCAAGCCUCCAUCUAAAUGCAACAAUUGCAAUUUUUGCAUGUCUAGAAAUCAUUCGGCGUGGGAUAUGGAAUUUCUUCAGGUUGGAAAAUGAGCACCUGAACAAUGUUGGGAAAUAUAGAGCAUUUAAAUCAGUGCCCCUUCCUUUCCAACAUGUUGAUGAUGAAAAUGAUGAAUGACUAUUUUCAUGGGAUUAGAUGGGGAGAGCUCACAAGUUAUUAC